GGGCUCAUGGCGCAGUUGGUAGCGCGCCGGUUUUGCAAAUCGGAGGCCGGGGGUUCAAAUCCCCCUGAGUCCA
rnacentral:tRNA from 1 species